GAUGAACUCGAGAAAAAAAAAACAGCUUUAAUCUGAAUUUCUUUCUUGUGAAUUGUGAGAGAGAGAGAGAGAAAAAAAAGAGUGAGGAAAGAUGGCCAUUGUUGAGUCCGUUGUCGAGCUCCUUCUCCAAAAAAUCGCUGAUCCAAUUAUUCGAGAAGCCAUUUUCUUACACGGCGUUGGUGAUCAAGUCGAAUGGCUAGAGGCGGAAUUUAAGCGGAUGCAAUGCUUCUUGGAAGACGCAGACGCCAAACAAGAAGGAGAUAGAAGAGUAAAGGGUUGGGUGGGGAAUGUGAGAGAUGUUGCAUAUGAUGCCGAGGACGUCAUCGACACCUUUCUCUUCAAGGUAGUAACCUUGAGGCGAACUGGAUUUGUGGGCUGCAUUAAAAGGUAUGCUUGCAUCUUCAAUGAAUUGAUAGCUCGCCAUCAGGUGGGAUCGAAGAUCGAGCGGAUAAAGUCUAAAAUCCGUAAGAUCUCCGAAAGUAGGUCGACAUAUGGAAUUGAAAAUAUAGGGCAGGGAGCAGGGACGAGCUCUGCCGGUCGAAGCCACCAAGAAUGGAGGCUCACUUCUCCUCUUUCUCAAGAAACAGAUUUUGUUGGCUUUGAGAAGGAAUUGGAGAUGUUGGUGUCCCAGUUAACAGAGGGAGAGCUGCGACGUUGUGUUGUUUCUGUAGUAGGAAUGGGUGGUCUCGGUAAGACCACUCUUGUUAAGAAACUUUAUAACGCUGAUACUGUUAAGAAACAUUUCCAUAUUCAUGCGUGGAUUUCUGUAUCACAAGAGUAUUCUGCGAGAGAUCUUUUGCAGACCAUCACAAAACGCUGUAUGGUUCUGUCAAAAGAGCAGCUCAAGUUGGUGGAGAAGAUGGACGUUCUUGAGCUGAGGGACAAGAUUUCCCAGUAUCUGAAUGACAAGAGAUACUUGGUGGUCUUGGAUGAUAUUUGGAAAAGAGAAGCAUGGGAUGCUUUGAAGUAUGCAUUUCCGGAUGUGAAUAAUGGCAGUAGGGUCGUCCUCACCACACGAAUCAAAGACGUAGCUUUAUAUGCAGAUCCACGAAGCUGUCCCCAUGAACUGCGAUUUCUAACCAAUGAAGAGAGCUGGGAUUUGUUCUGUCAAAAAACAUUAAUCCUAGGACAAGAUGGUGGUUGCCAGCAGGAUUUAGAGAAGCUGGGAAGAGAGAUUGUGGAAAAAUGCCAUGGUCUCCCUCUUGCGAUCGCAGUCGUUGGAGGGCUCUUAUCAGGAAAGGAACCAAGGGAGUGGGAGAAUGUACGCAAGAGCAUCCGCUGGCAGUUUGUCCAGGGAGAAGUCCAAAUCUCCAGCAUAUUAUCUUUAAGCUAUAAAGAUCUGCCCUAUUACUUAAAACCAUGUUUUCUCUACCUGGGUAAUUUUCCAGAGGACUAUGAGUUCAAAGCCAAGGAAUUGAUUCGACUGUGGGCCGCAGAAGGGUUUCUUAAAGAAAGAGAGCGGCUAACAUUGGAAGAGGUUGGAGAAGAUUAUCUGAUGCAGUUGGUUCAUAGAAGUAUGGUUCAAUUGACAAGAAGAAGUUCAAGCAGGGGUAUCAAAAGUUGUCGCAUCCAUGACCUUUUGCGAGAUCUGUCUUUAUCAGAAGCUAAGGAAAGCAAGUUUCUCGAAGUUCAGGGUGACAAUGGCAAUGCUCCUCCUGCAUCUAGAGCCCGUCGGCUUGCAAUUCACCUUAAUGACCCAAGGAAAUUAAAAAUCAAACAGCUUUCCACUCCGCACCUUCGUUCUAUGUUGAUCUACACCCAAGGCGAUACAUAUCUUCAAGAGGAACGAAGGAAGUUUCUAUUCCAAGGCUUUAAGUUACUUAGGGUGCUAUAUACAGAUGGUGUACAAAAAAGCGAGCUACCGAAGCAAAUAGGUGAACUAAUCCAUUUGAGAUAUCUCGGGUGUACUAAAACUAGAAUAAAAACCCUCCCAUCAUCGAUAGGCAAUCUUAUCAAUUUACAAACUCUAUUUGUAGAAUCCAGUAAUAAAAUUGGAGUACCUGAGACAAUUGGGAAGAUGCAUCAGUUAAGACAUCUUCAAUUCACCCUCCGUCGGGGAGUGAUAGGAGGGCAUCCGAGGCUCGACCUGAUAAGUAACCUCCAGACUCUAUCAAGAGUAUCUGCUGGCAAAUGGAUGGAGGGUUGCUUGGGAAAGCUCACCAAUCUUAGAAAAUUAAAAAUACUUUUUGAAACAGGAGCGGACGUUGAAUUAUUCUAUGAGGCGAUUGUCAACCUGAACUGCCUCCAUCAUCUGUCGGUGUUGAUGUCAGUAGAGGCACGUGACAAUGAAGACAGAUACUUAUUUUUGUCGUUACCUAAUCUUUCACAUCUGCUCAAGUUGAGUAAGUUGCAUUUGGGAGGAAAGUUAGAAACGUUACCUGAAUUUCCAACAAAUCUCACCAAACUCACCUUGGAAGAGUCCUGGUUAGUGGAAGAUCCAAUGGCGACGUUGGAGAAGCUGAAAAACCUUCGCAUUCUCAGAUUGUCAUCUGAUUCAUAUAUACGAAAGGAAAUGACUUGCUCUGCACAAGGGUUUCCUCGACUCGAAUCCUUAUAUCUUUAUAAAUUAGAUGAAUUAGAGGAGUGGAGAGUUGAUGAAGGAGCUAUGCCAAGUCUUUUACAUUUACAGAUCUAUGCCUGCAACCAAUUGAAGAAGCUUCCAGAAGGACUGCAACACGUGACUACCCUCAAGAAAUUGGAGUUGUGGUUUAUGCCCUAUGAAUUCAAAGCAAGGGUUCGAGAAGAUGGGGGAGAGGAUUGGUAUAAGAUCCGGCACAUACCCUCCAUCGACAUACACGAUAUAUACUGAGAAGCUAAGCAGUCGGAUUUUAAUUUCUAUCAUUAUGAGAGGUACAUACAUAGGGCAACCAUCGACAAUUAGACAGGAGCUUUGACUAAGAUUUUUGGAGCAUCUUUCGUCCAUGGCAGAGUGUAUUAAAUCAAAGUUUGGAUUUCAGAGCUACUAGCCCGACUUGUUUCAUGGAUCAAGACACUUGGACAGAAUGCAUUUGAAGCCUAUACUUCCUGUUUUAUCCAUUAUUAGUAUUUAAAGUUAGGCAUUUUUCUCACAACAGAGAUUGCACUGACCUGCGUAUGCUAAGUGACUAGAUGAAGUGAAGAAUGGUGGAAUGGUGACUAGACAAUGAUGAGAUGUUUGGAUGAUCAUUUGUAUUUGUAACUCAAGGAUUCAUGUACUUUCUGUUUGAGAUCUUUCAAUAAGGAACCAUGCACUAAUAUUCGUUACAUGCUCUGCAUUUUAAUUUGGGGAAAUUGUUCAUUAGUGUUUGACUUAUUUCACUGUA